rnacentral:rRNA from 1 species
UGCAUUUGAUACUGGCAAGCUUGAGUACUUGAGAGGUAAGUGGAAUUCCCGGUGUAGAGGUGAAAUGCGUAGAUAUUGGAAAGAACACCAAUGGCGAAGGCGGCUCACUGGCCCGAUACUGACGCUGAGGUGCGAAAGCGUGGGGAGCGAACAGGAUUAGAUACCCUGGUAGUCCACGCCGUAAACGAUGGAUACUAGCUGUUGGGAGGUUUGCCCGUGGGUGGCCCAAAUAAAACAUUAAACAUCCCGCCU